GUCUUUCAUCUCUUUGCAAAUCUUCUUUUUCAAAAGUUUCAUUUUAUAAAAUCUGAAGAGUCGUAUUGUUUAUAUUUGAUUUUCUUGAAUAGGAUUUGCAGAAGGCAUCUACUAUGAACCUCUCUGCUCUUUUUUGUAGCCUAGAGACUACGAAACGAUGCGAAAUCAAAUCCGAAAGGAUUGGUUCUUCUGGACUGGCAGGCUCUCAUACUCUAUUGGGUUCUGACCUUUUCUCGUAAGUGCCACAAUUUUCUCAUCUCCGAAACACCCACCUACUACUCUUUUGCUCGAUGAUGAUUUCAUUUGCUUUAACCACACCGAACUGAGAAUUGAAGGGUUGGAUUUACCCUCUUCUGAUUUAAGUCAGGGAAGAGAAGAAGGCUUUGCUAAGCAUUUGAAGCCCUGCUGUUAUUCUCCUGGCUUAAAUCUUGAGAUGGUUCUACCCAACUCUUUUUAUGUUCUCUUAUGUGGAAAACUUUGGCCCUUGACUGAGAGCAACCAAUCACCAUGCUAAUUUUUGUUGGGAUUUUCUUUUGGAUUUUUUUGCCCUGAAUUUUACCACGAAGGUUUUAAAUUGUUUUACGUUUGGAUGAGUAAUUCAAUUGUCUCAUAAUGUACAUUGGAUUUUAUGUUUGGCAUGGAUUUUGGGGAAUGAUGAUUAAACUGUGACAUAGGCUUCUGCUAUGCUGAGUUAUGUUUUGCACGUCAGUCUGAUCCCAAAUUCCCAGUUAAAAAAAAUGUGAUUUGUGAUUGCGAGUUUGUCAGUUAAAGAAAAUUUACACUAAUUGUUCUGUGUAAAUUACUUUUUUUUCCCCCUGAGAAGAGAUUUACAAUAAGAUAUUCACCAUUGUUAAUUUGGACCUAUAAAGAACCAUAUUGUAUAACCAACAUGAACAAGGUGGACAUGAUUUUGGGCAAACAGAUGCCUUUUUGCAUUAGUGUGCCGAUUUAGAAACUCUCUGAGUUAGCGUGAAUUCCUUGGUACAUUAUUGCCUUACUGAGGUCUGUACCACUAGCAAUAUAUGCUUUAGCAUGACGGAUGCUAAUCAGUGUGAAGGUGCCGGUGCAAGGGAAGGGGGCUGAGGAAAUAGUCUGGAGAAGAGUUUAUCAGCAAGAACUGCGUUUGCUGCAUCUGAAGGGUGGAAUGCAUCCCAGAAUACAUAGUCGUUCCGGUUUGUACACAUUUUUGAAUUAGGCAAGCAUAGCCCUCCGAGUGAUGUGUCCACAUUGCAACACGAUGUAUUAGAGACCUUGAAACCUGAAAGACAAUGGAUCAAUUUGUGUAUGUUGUAAAUUAA